UCAAUUAAAUAACUUGGGUUUUAUCUCUUGCAUUCUACUGUUCACAAUGAUAUGGCUGUUACAUUCAAUCAUCUUCCUAAAAACUUUGUCACUGACCAGUUCACAAGUUGUUCUCACUCAGUCAGGACCAGAACUGAAAAAAACUGGAGACUCCAUCAGGCUCACCUGUGCGGUGCAAGGAUUUCAGCUUGACAACCAUUACAUGGAUUGGGUCCGAGAGGCCCCAGGAAAAGGGCUGGAAUGGCUGGUUCAUUAUCGGAUUCCAAUUUAUGGUGUCUACAAUCCAGCCAUCCAAGGGCGAUUUACUGCCUCCAAGGACAGCUCUAACUUUUAUCUCGACAUGAACUGCCUGAAGGUAGAAGACACAGCCAUGUAUUACUGUUCUGCAGAGACACAGUGGUGA